GACGAACGCUGGCGGCGUGCUUAACACAUGCAAGUCGAACGGUGAAGCGCCUUCCUUUUUGGUGGGUGUGGAUGAGUGGCGAACGGGUGAGUAACACGUGAGUAACCUGCCCCCUUCUUCUGGAUAACCGCAUGAAAGUGUGGCUAAUACGGGAUAUUCUGUGUCUGUCGCAUGAUGGGUCUGGGAAAGAUAUUGUUUCGGUGGGGGAUGGGCUCGCGGCCUAUCAGCUUGUUGGUGGGGUGAUGGCCUACCAAGGCGGUGACGGGUAGCCGGCCUGAGAGGGUGGCCGGUCACACUGGGACUGAGACACGGCCCAGACUCCUACGGGAGGCAGCAGUGGAGAAUAUUGCACAAUGGGCGCAAGCCUGAUGCAGCGACGCCGCGUGAGAGAUGGAGGCCUUCGGGUUGUGAACCUCUUUCGCCAGUGAAGCAGGCCUGCCUCGUUUGUGGGUGGGUUGACGGUAGCUGGAUAAGAAGCGCCGGCUAACUACGUG
rnacentral:rRNA from 1 species